CUUUGUUUUUUGUCUUGGCCUCCUCUUUUAACUCUUUCACCUUGUUUCUUUCCUCCUCAUUCAUUUCUCUUCUUAUAUAUAUAUAUCCUUCAUACCCUCUAUCUUUCUUAACAAACUCGUUCUUCUCAAGAUGUGUUCGGUUGCCGCUUGGGUAUUAAGUCUUAUUUUCAUGGGACGUUUCCCCCUUUCUGAAUAUUUCCCAAUCCUGUACACUUCUUCUAUUUGUAUAUCUGUUUCAUCUCCUUCUUCUACAAUUUUCCCAAUGAUUUCUUUUGCUCUUUGUAAUUCUUCUCUUUCUCUUAGAACUUUAUUUGAUAUGGUGUGUGUGUGUGUGUGUGUGUGUGUGUGUGUGUGUGUGUGUGUGUGUGUGUGUGUGUGUGUGUGUGUGUGUGUGUGUGUGUGUGUGUGUGUGUGUGUGUGUGUGUGUGUUUACCUAGUUUUACUUAGUUGUAAUUUACAGGGCUUGAGCUAUGUUCAUGUGGUCCCAUCUCCAUAUCUACACUUGUCCAAUUUUUCCUUAAAGUUGUGCACACUCAUUGCUGAUAGUACAUCCUCACUUAGCUUGUUCCAAACUUCUAUAUUUCUCUGUGGGAAACUAUAUUUCUUUAUGUUAUUUAAGCAUCUUCCUUUUCUUAGUUUUUUGCUGUAGCCUUGUGUGUAUCUGGUAUUUUCUGCUUCUCUUAGCAGUAGUUUCUCAUUAUUAAUUUCUUUCACUCUAUUCCACAAUUUAUAAAUCAGUAUUAAGUCUCCACUUUCUCUUCUUUGUUCCAAUGUUGGCAGGUUCAUUUCCUUUAACUUGUCUUCAUAUGUUAAUUCUUCCAGUUCUGGAACCAUCUUCAUUGUCAUCCUAUGUAUCCUUUUUAGUUUUUUGACAUGUUUCUUCUUGUGGGGAGACCACACUGAUUCAACAUAUUCCAGUAUUGGUCUAUUCAUAGUGGUAAUUAUCUUUCUCAUCAUAUCUUUAUCCAUGUAAUGGAAAGCUGUUCCAGUACUUCUGAAUAUCAUUUUUACGUUUCUCUGCCUGUUGACUAUCUUGUAUUAUCAUUCUCUUCUCAUACUUUUAUUAUUUCUUCAUUCAUCAUUUUAUUUGUCCAUUUUGGUCUCUUUUCACUUUUUUCCCAUUUUCUAUUAUAUGACAUUUUUUAACAUUAAAUUCCAUCUCCCAUUUCUUACUCCAGUCCCAGAUUUCAUUCAAGACUUCUUGUAGAAUUUCACAGUCUUUAUUGUUUCUUACAUGUCUUUGUAGUUUUGCAUUAUCUGCAAACAAACACAUGUAACUCUUUACUCCUUCAGGCAUAUCAUUUAUGUAGAUCAGGAAAAGUAUUGGCGCCAGCACUGAUCCUUGGUACUCCACUAUCUAUUUUUCUCUAUCUCAAUUUUACAUCUUUCACUACUGUUCUCAUUUCUCUUCCCUUUAAGUAACUUUCAAUCCAGCUUUUUUAUUUUUCAAUUUGAUCCUCCUUUAUUUUCUAGCUUCCAUAAUAGCCUGUUGUGGGGAACUUUGUCAAAAGCUGUUUUUUUUUUUAUCUAAAUACACACAGUCUACUCAUCCAUCCCUCUUCUGUGUUAUAUCAGACACUCGAAUAGAGGCUCAUCAAAUUGGUUACGCAUGAUUGCUUUUGUCUAAAGCCAUACUGCUUUUCUGUUAUUAUAUCAUGUUUUUCUAUAAAUUUUGUCCACUGCUUCUUUAUCACUUUUUCACAGAUCUUACAUACCAUGCUGGUCAUUGCUACUGGUCUAUAGUUUAGUGGUUCCUCUUUCUUUCCAAUUUUAUAAAUUGGCACUAUGUCUACUCUCUUCCAUUCCUUAGGCACUCUUCCAGUUGUUAUUGAGCACUUUAUUGUGUUGUAUACUGGUUUGAUUAAUUGUUUCCUGCAUUCUUUUAAAAUGAAACCGGGUCCUGUUGCCUUUCUUGCUCCCAGUUCCUCCAUCAUUUUAUAAACUUUUUUGAUUACUGUAAUUUUCCACAUUUGCUUUUUUGUCUUCUUAUCUUGUGGUUCUUUAAAUUCUAGUUCUUCCAUGAAAACUUGCUGAAACUUUUUUUUGUUAUUAUUACGUAGGAAGGACACCAGCCAAGGGCAACAAAAAUCCACUAGAAAAAAAAGCUCCACUGACAUGGUAGUUUCUGAAUAGGGCCCAAAAAUUGAAGGGUAAAAAAUUGAAGGUAUAAGUAUCUUGAAACCUCCCUCUUGAAAGAAUUCAAGUCAUAGGAAGGUGGAAAUACAGAAGUAGACAGGGAGUUCCAGUUUAGCAUUUCACUCAUGUCUUUUGUUUCAUUUUCAUCCUUUAAUCUUUAUAGUUUUUCUUUGUUUUAUUUUUCUAUUCAUGAAUCUGUAGAGCAGUUUUGGGUUGUCCUUACACUUUUCAGCUAUAUCUUUUUCAUAUCCUUUUUCUUUCUCUCCACUUAUUUUCACAUAUUCAUUUCUUACUAUCUUAAAGUCUUCUUUAUUUUUAGGGGGUUUGAUUUCUUUACAUUCUCAUCCAUAUUUUGCCUCUUUUUUUUUAUCCUAUUUCUUUAGGUUUGUAUACUGGGACACAUCUAUCCACUCCUGUUUCAUAUAAUUACAUAAAAAUGUCAUACUUAUCUUGCACAUCAUUUGCUCUUUUCAGCUUUCCCCAGUCCAUUUCUUCAUAGAUAAUCUUAAGAUCAUCUAUAUUUGCUUUUUCAUAGUUUCUCCUGCUUUCUUUGUAUGAUACAGCCUUCAAGAGGGAGGUUUCAAGACACUUAUCCUUCAGUUUUUGACUACUGCUUUGGACCCUUUUAUGGGACUGGCAUCUCAGUGGACUUUUUUUUUUUUGUUGUUGCCCUUGGCCAGUGGCCCUCCUACAUAAAAAAGAAUAAUAAUAAAAAAAAAAACUGUAUUACAUCAAACUAUAACAUUCCCACUUCUAUAAUCUCAAACUAGGGUGUAACCACAGCAUAUUCAGUAUAUUGAAACACUGAGCUUAUUGUGUCUGCAGAAGUCUGGGAAAAUUUUGACUGAUAUUAAUAAAAGUGAGCAAGGAAAAGGUUAAUGAAGAGCAGAUUUAAUGAGAAAAGGUUGCGUAAAUCAGAUUUUUGCAAUCAAAAUGGUAAUAAUAGAGUACAGAAGAGUAAAAAGUUGCAUACAGUCUUUAUAGACCCAGAGACAGAAUAUGGUAGUAAUGAUAGGAAAGCCUUCCAGCAUGUUCUAAAAAUACAUGGUAUGGAAAGGUAGUUGUUGCAAGGAAUGAAGGCAUUUUUAAAAGUGUGUGUGGGAAGGCAGGAGAGCUUGGUAAAUUUCACUGUUAGGAGCAGGAAUGAGACAUGGAUAUGGGAUGUCUAGUACAGUAAAAUCCCUCUCAUCCGGCAUUCGAGUAUCCGGCAGCUUCAAGUAUCCGGCACAUUUUUCCCCGAGCCUUAAAAUCAAUAAAAAAUCAAUGUGUACUCAUAAAAUCGAUUAAAAUUCCCGCGUGAGGCGUACUUUGUCCCCUCGCCACCAGAGCGCACUGCUUCGCGCCACCAGCAACCCACUGCACUGUGUUUACUCAGUGACUCAGUCCCGUGUGUGCACUGUUUAUCGCCUGACGCCUUCAUCAUGCCAAAAGUUGUAGAAAAGAGGAAAUGUGUUGUGCUUGCACUUAAGCAGCUGAUCAGAUCAGCUGCUGAUUAAGAUCAUCUUUGUUAUGGUAAGAUGCGUGAGUGUAGGGUGGUGAUUGUGGACAUAAUUUCACUUCUAUUCAAGUAUCCGGCAAUACUCAAGUAUCCGGCAUGUCGGCGGUCCUGUUGAUGCCAGAUAAGAGGGAUUUUACUGUAUUCUCUUACCAACAUUGGCCUAUGGAUUAGAGACUUGGACAUGGAGCAGGCCGCAUCAAUCAAGAGUACAUGCUGUGGAUAUGAGUUAUCUGAGAGAGCCUUAUGGAAUGACAAGAUGGAAAGAGAGAACAAUGACAGUUUGUAUGGUAGAUGUGGUUUAAAUGUCUAUGCAAAUGGAAUAAAGUGUAGAGUGGUGGAAUGAAUGGAAAAAUAUACAAUGACAUGGUUUGGCUACAUCAAGAGUAUGAAGAGUCUGUAAAAAAAAUGCAAGUGAUAUAGAGUUGCUCCCUUCCAGAAAAGUGAGGAUUGGUAUCUGUUAUCAUACCAUAUGCCAUCAUUUACAUAUAUUUUUCCUAACUUCUAUAUUCUACCCAAGAAUGGUGCUGGACUGGACAUCUACCCACUCUUGUCCAUUUUUCCUAUUUGCCAAGUUGUGAUGGGACUUCACAGAUGCUGAGUAAAUUUAGCAUCCUGAGGUGACUGGAAUUCUGUGGAUGAAUGGACAACAAAACCCAUGACACCCUACUCAUGGUGAUCCUGGAUAUAGGUAGCUGUGAUAUGAGGUGGUGGAUGGUGUAAAUACUGCUGGCUUUGGUUCUAGGACAUUGAGGUGUCUUAGUCCAAGUAAUCCUCUUCCUGGAGGAGGCAAUAGGCACCUGCCAAAAUGAUAAUUACUCCCAGUAAGGUCUAAAGCACUGGAUCAGGGAGUUCAGUGAACCUAUCAUUAAACCCAGCUGGGACCUCACUGAACAUUUCCCUUUGUGUCAGGUCCCCACCAACUAGCAGAGGCAAAAUGCCAGAGGCACCUUCACUUAAGGGGAUCCUGAGGAGGGAUUGGAGUGAUAGGAUAAGAUACAGAUAUGAGAUUGUGAUUGGAGGAGCCCAAUGGAGAAGAGAGGGUGACAGCAUAAGGAGAAGGAUUAAAGGUCAGGAAAAGGUCAAGAAUGUCGGGCGUAUCUCCAAGACGGUCAGGAAUACGAGUAGGGUGUUGCACCAAUUGCUCUAGGUCGUGGAUGAUAGUAAAGUUGAAGGCUAGCUCACUAGGAUGGUCAGUGAAAGGAGAGGAAAGCCAAAGCUGGUAGUGAACAUUGAAGUCUCCAAGAAUGGAGAUCUCUGCAAAAGGGAAGAGAGUCAGAAUGUGCUCCACUCUGGAAGUUAAGUAGUCAAAGAAUUUCUUAUAGUCAGAGGAGUUAAGUGAGAGGUAUACAGCACAGAUAUUUAGUUUAAGAGUAUCUCUGUAGUCAUAGCCAGAUGGUGGAAAACUCAGAAGAUUCAAGAGUGUGGGCACGAGAGCAGGUUAAGUUGUUGCACACAUAAACGCAACAUCCAGCUUUGGAUUGAAAAUGAGGAUAGAGAAAGUAAGAGGGAACAGAAAAGGGACUACUGUCAAUUGCCUCAGACACCUGAGUUUCAGUGAGGAAAAGAAAAUGAGGUUUGGAAGAGGAGAGGUGGUGUUCUACAGACUGAAAAUUAGAUCUUAGAUUGCAAAUAUUGCAGAAGUUAAUGAAGAAAAAAUUGAGGGGGUGUCAAGACACCUAGGGUUGUUAUCAGAAGAGAUGUCUGACCUAGGGACAUUUGUGGUCCCCUUCCCAGAUGGGGACGAGGCUGGUGUAGGAGUCGCCAUGAUAAUUUUGAAUUUUUCAGUGAAGGGUGUGUGUGUGUGUGUGUGUUAUUAGGUGCUUGUAGUUUUGUGUAGAGGAAGAGAGUUGUCUUUAGAGGACAGGUUGUGACUGCCUCCUUAUGUUGUGAGACACAAAGGGAAACAUUCAGUGAGGUCACAGCUGGUUUUAAUGAUAAGUUCAUAGCAUCCCCUGAUCCAGUGUUUUAGACCUCACUGGGAGUAAUUAUCGUUUUGGCAGGUGCCUACUGCCUCCUCCUACAAAGGCAGUGAUGUGAUAACCUCUAUGACUGAGGCAUCAUGGACCAAUAUGAACCAGUUAUGCUACUAUUGUGUAACCUCACAGGAAAAGGGAGACUUGUGACGUCCUAAACAAUUGAUCUAAGAGAAGAAGGAGUCAGUAGGAAGAUGUGGAACAAAAAACUGGAUGAAGGAGUAGAGAUGAUUUUUUGUAGUGGAAAAUGGAGGAAAUAUGGAUAUAAAGUUUUACAGAAAAAAAAGUGCAGUGAAAAAAUUACAGGAGCAGCCAUCAUGAAAAUAACAAAGAUAGCAGAAGCCAAGCUCAUUAGAAGAAGUGUUACAAACGAACCCGUUUAGCAGGAGUCUCCUCUGCCCCACUUCUGCUGGACCUGCAACACAGAGCAAUGUCAUCAAGGCAAACUUCUUCCAUACUUAAGUCUUGUAUAGAUGCAACUAAUGAAAAUCUGACAAUGAGUGCAGCAAGUACUUCUUGUCUAAAUGCUUGAAUUCAUAACAAUAUUAUGUCUUUUUUUUUUGGAAUUCUAUGGAAAACUACAAAGUUCCAUAAAAAUAAUAAUAAACACAUAAGAAUAAAAAAAAUGAAAUAUAUGAUACUAAUUGUUGUACAAAAGGCAAAUGCAAUUUAUCAGCUGUAAAGAUAUUAUAAAUAAUUGUGAAAACUGUUUGAAAAGGGUAAUUACAUC